AAUGUGUUUACCAUAUAUUUUCUAUAAGAUCUGUUAUUUCUUGUUAAAAUGCUAAGUUAGUAUACUGUUCAUCAAAUAACUUCCGACCAAAGUAUACUUGCAUUCACGAUGUUAUUCGGACAGCCACCAUCACGCCAAUCGGAAGUCAGUCUAAUAGUUUGCCAUUCAUCAGUCUAAUGUGUACAUCGUGUGAACCUUUGUGUAAGUGAAGGCGUUUCCAAUAUUUGGCCAUUUUGUGCGGAGAACAUAAAAGAUCGACAGAGACAAAGUACUACUGCAUAAUCGCCAGAAAAGAUUGGAGGGGCCGGGGGAAACGUUAGUCGCGCUGAACGCCUGGCUGGAUUUGAAAGGACAAUGUAGCCUACCAAUGAUAAACUUUCCGGUUCUCACCAGUUUAACCUCGUCUUGCCUGACGUAACUUUGAUCGACAUUACAACUACAAGCGUCCUCUGGGAAAUUAAGCAUCAGACCUGUAGGACACCUUCUGCCUCCUUGUCCCCAACUCCAUAACCGAUUAUAUCACCGAUUCACCAUCUUGCCAUCGACAUUCUCAGAUCGGACACCACUUCAAGUUUCCCCAUGGUCGCAAAGCCAAUUGAUCGACUGUGGGAUAGAAGGCCACGGGAUUCUACUCGCGAGACUGGAGGAGACCGGAUGAUUGCCCCUGCUGAGUCCGUGCUCCUCUCCAUGCAAGCGCUUGUAUUACCUGAAACCAGAAAUUUGGAAACCAGCUUUGCAGCAGAUGUUGACUUUGGCUAUUUUUUUUCUGUAUUGGGAAUGAUAAGUGUUCCAGACCACACCCAGCGCUCUUCCCACGUGGCCUAUAUGCCUUGCCUUUAUCUCAGGCUAUCAAUGUU